GAUGAACGCUGGCGGCGUGCCUAAUACAUGCAAGUCGAGCGAACAGACGAGGAGCUUGCUCCUCUGACGUUAGCGGCGGACGGGUGAGUAACACGUGGAUAACCUACCUAUAAGACUGGGAUAACUUCGGGAAACCGGAGCUAAUACCGGAUAAUAUAUUGAACCGCAUGGUUCAAUAGUGAAAGACGGUUUUGCUGUCACUUAUAGAUGGAUCCGCGCCGCAUUAGCUAGUGGGUAAGGUAACGGCUUACCAAGGCAACGAUGCGUAGCCGACCUGAGAGGGUGAUCGGCAACACUGGAACUGAGACACGGUCCAGACUCCUAGGGGAGGCAGCAGUAGGGAAUCUUCCGCAAUGGGCGAAAGCUUGACGGAGCAACGCCGCGUGAGUGAUGAAGGUCUUCGGAUCGUAAAACUCUGUUAUGAGGGAAGAACAAAUGUGUAAGUAACUAUGCACGUCUUGACGGUACCUAAUCAGAAAGCCACGGCUAACUACGU
rnacentral:rRNA from 1 species